rnacentral:rRNA from 1 species
CAGUAGCCGCGGUAAUACGAAGGGGGCUAGCGUUGUUCGGAAUUACUGGGCGUAAAGCGCACGUAGGCGGAUAUUUAAGUCAGGGGUGAAAUCCCAGAGCUCAACUCUGGAACUGCCUUUGAUACUGGGUAUCUUGAGUAUGGAAGAGGUUAGUGGAAUUGCGAGUGUAGAGGUGAAAUUCGUAGAUAUUCGCAGGAACACCAGUGGCGAAGGCGGCUAACUGGUCCAUAACUGACGCUGAGGUGCGAAAGCGUGGGGAGCAAACAGGAUUAGAUACCCCGGUAGUCUCUGUCUCUUAUAC